rnacentral:lncRNA from 1 species
UAUUUACCCCUGCUGUUAUCCAUUUUAACAUAUUGCCCCCACAUCUAGCGGAGUCUUAUUUUAAGACACCUGACACGAUCUUAAACAAUAUAAUCAUCUACCCUUUACCCUAGUCGUUCAGCCCCAACACAAUAUCCAAACCCACCCCAAGAAAAGGAUUUUAACCCAAAGAUAUGGUUCUUCUCCUUCGUUUAUAUGGAGAACUAUUUCAGCCCAUUUGAGGCUGCUCGAUUCAAAAACAAAAAUCAGAAAAUUCUUUAACUUAGCUAUUUGGGUUUGCGAUCUGUAGUAGGAAUUUCAAGUUUGAGUUUUAAGAGUUUUUGUGUUUUAAAUUAGGAGCUUAAAACUUACUCAAAUCGUGGCUCAUUGUUUGGACGAUUUGGUAUUCAAACACUUGAACAACUUUCAAGUUAAUUCUUUGUGAUACUGGUAGUUUGAGUUUGUGCAAAAUUUUUGAGAUCCACCAUUGAUGAACAACCUUUAAAAUUUAGCAGUGGGUUUGAAGUUUGAACGCGAAUAAGACGAACUGGGUAUCUUAAUUUCGUUGAUGUUUGCUCGAAAUGGUGCUUUCUAUUGUAAUUAGUAUUGUUUAUAUCCAACUUCAACUGUUAGUACACUUAUGAAACUUUAUUGAAGAAGAAGAAGAAUCUCAUUGCCAAAAUUUCGAGAUCUUUUAUUCACAAAAAUUAAGAAAAUAAAAAUGUCAUUGUUGAACCUUGAAGGUCUUGGGAUUGAACUAGAUUGGGAGAUUAUUUGGGAUAAUUUUGUACUGGAUUUGGUCGAUAUUUGUAAGCUGAAAAUGCAGCAAUUGUUAUCUUUGUUUACUCUUGAUUAGAUUAGCUUAGCAUUUAUACAUAUUAAGU